rnacentral:rRNA from 1 species
CUUUCCCUCUGGCGGCAGGCCUAACACAUGCAAGUCGAACGGUAGCACAGAGAGCUUGCUCUCGGGUGACGAGUGGCGGACGGGUGAGUAAUGUCUGGGAAACUGCCCGAUGGAGGGGGAUAACUACUGGAAACGGUAGCUAAUACCGCAUAACGUCUUCGGACCAAAGUGGGGGACCUUCGGGCCUCACACCAUCGGAUGUGCCCAGAUGGGAUUAGCUAGUAGGUGGGGUAAUGGCUCACCUAGGCGACGAUCCCUAGCUGGUCUGAGAGGAUGACCAGCCACACUGGAACUGAGACACGGUCCAGACUCCUACGGGAGGCAGCAGUGGGGAAUAUUGCACAAUGGGCGCAAGCCUGAUGCAGCCAUGCCGCGUGUAUGAAGAAGGCCUUCGGGUUGUAAAGUACUUUCAGCGGGGAGGAAGGCGAUGAGGUUAAUAACCGCAUCGAUUGACGUUACCCGCAGAAGAAGCACCGGCUAACUCCGUG